UACGUAGGAGGCGAGCGUUGUCCGGAAUUACUGGGCGUAAAGCGCGCGUAGGCGGUCUGUCGCGUCGGCGGUGAAAGCCCUCGGCUCACCUGGGGGAGGUCCGCCGAAACGGACAGACUGGAGGGCGGUAGGGGCUGGCGGAACGCCCGGAGUAGCGGUGAAAUGCGUUGAGAUCGGGCAGAACACCAGUGGCGAAGGCGGCCGGCUGGGCCGACCCUGACGCUGAGGCGCGAAAGCCAGGGGAGCGAACAGG
rnacentral:rRNA from 1 species